GACGAACGCUGGCGGCGUGCCUAAUACAUGCAAGUAGAACGCUGAAGAGAGGAGCUUGCUCUUCUUGGAUGAGUUGCGAACGGGUGAGUAACGCGUAGGUAACCUGCCUUGUAGCGGGGGAUAACUAUUGGAAACGAUAGCUAAUACCGCAUAACAAUGGAUUACACAUGUCAUUUAUUUGAAAGGGGCAAUUGCUCCACUACAAGAUGGACCUGCGUUGUAUUAGCUAGUAGGUGAGGUAAUGGCUCACCUAGGCGACGAUACAUAGCCGACCUGAGAGGGUGAUCGGCCACACUGGGACUGGGACACGGCCCAGACUCCUGCGGGAGGCAGCAGUAGGGAAUCUUCGGCAAUGGGGGCAACCCUGACCGAGCAACGCCGCGUGAGUGAAGAAGGUUGUCGGAUCGUAAAGCUCUGUUGUAAGUCAAGAACGGGUGUGAGAGUGGAAAGUUCACACUGUGACGGUAGCUUACCAGAAAGGGACGGCUAACUACGUG
rnacentral:rRNA from 1 species